CGGAGCGUAGCGCAGCCUGGUAGCGCACUUGCUUCGGGAGCAAGGGGUCGGAGGUUCGAAUCCUCUCGCUCCGA
rfam:Hyphomicrobium denitrificans 1NES1, complete genome.